rnacentral:tRNA from 1 species
AGUGUAGUGCCUGAAUAAAAGGGUUAUCAUGAUAGGAUAAAUAAUGUAAUUAAGUUACCUACACUA